GCCAGAGGUGUUGCAUAGCAUGGAAAAGAAGCGACCAGCAGUAGGGAUGAAGAUAUUAUGAAUACAUUGGCUUCAUUAGUUGGAUUAGGUAACAAGCACAAAAUGUCUAUAUCUGGAACAACAUUCGUGGAAGUGAACUUAAUUUCUUAUUGGUUUACUGGGACUUCUUUGCUGUCUCAAGUCAAUCAUGCCACACUAAAGGAGUUCUUUCCAUAGUUUGGUUUAUUUCCUUCAAGAUAGAGCACCUCUAUGCGACCAAACAAAACCCACUUUACAAGGGAGCUCUGACGGCGAGCACUUGACAUAUGAGAAAGGAUUCUGAGCUACCAAAGAAAUCACUGGCAAGGCUCAUUAAGCUGGUACCACAACCCAUGUUUGAAGUUUAAAGGAUGGAGAACGAUGUUGUAUGCUAUGAGGCCCAAUUGCCCAUACUGUUUGUGGAGUUCAUGCACGGUCUGCCACUUAUAAACUCUGGGUGCACGUAUUGCAUAGAUUAUCUAGUACAGUGUAGAACUAUUGGAGAGGCACAUUUUAUAGGGGUCAAAAUUGUUGAGCAGGGAUGCACCUCAAAUAAGCUUGUCUUACAUUCUGAUGCAAGAUAGCUAAUUGAUAAAGCUUGAUAGGCCCUGCAUACGUCAGAUUAAUGAAGCUCCCUUUCUCUUUGUCCUGAUCAUUGACCUUAUUUAUAAAGCUCUAAACUCAAUUCAUGGAUGUAAAAGUGCUGAUAGAUGUGUCUCCAUUCAAAAUCAUGAACAAAGCAUGUCAUGGAUGUCAAGAAGAAACUGUGUCAAGCAGUGACACAUGAACAGGAAAUUAGGCAAAUGCUUUUAUGUAUAUCUGUAAGUUCAUUCCAAAGAGUUUGUUGUUUAAAUGUGAAUGCGUGGAUAAAACGUUUAUUGCUGUAGGGACAGGUUUUGAUUUCAAGAGUAUGUAAAUUGCAUGUGUUAGUGGCAAAAUUGAUUUGUAUAAGCA